GAUACUACCACUAAGGAGUUGUUAGGGAGCUGUGGAACUAAGUAUAGAUGGGUCCAUGGCCCAGCAAACAGUCUCUGAGUGCCUCAGGCAAGUGUCUGAGUCAGCCUCAUAUAUUGACUAAAUUUAUAAAAUUUCCACAAAACCGACAAGAAAGGACUCUUAUUAAAGAACAAAUCAAAUAAUUAAACAACUACUAACUCGCUAGAGCUGCCAUAACCAACACUGCAUGACGCAUGGAAGAUUAACUACCAAAUAUAUGUUAUCGGAAAAUAAAACAU
rnacentral:lncRNA from 1 species